GACGAAGGGGGCUAGCGUUGCUCGGAAUUACUGGGCGUAAAGGGCGCGUAGGCGGACAGUUUAGUCAGAGGUGAAAGCCCAGGGCUCAACCCUGGAAUUGCCUUUGAUACUGACUGUCUUGAGUACGGGAGAGGUGUGUGGAACUCCGAGUGUAGAGGUGAAAUUCGUAGAUAUUCGGAAGAACACCAGUGGCGAAGGCGACACACUGGCCCGUUACUGACGCUGAGGCGCGAAAGCGUGGGGAGCAAACAGG
rnacentral:rRNA from 1 species